GGCGGGGUAGCUCAGGUGGUUAGAGCAAGCGGCUCAUAAUCGCUGUGCGCGGGUUCGAGUCCCGCCCCCGCUA
rnacentral:tRNA from 1 species